rnacentral:rRNA from 1 species
AUAAACGCUGGCGGCGUGCUUCAGGCAUGCAAGUCGAACGAGCAAUCCGGUUCGCCGGUGCGCUAGUGGCGGACGGGUGAGUAACACGUAAGCAACCUGCCCAGAAGUGUGGAAUAACCCACCGAAAGGUGAGCUAAUACCGCAUAUGAUGUUUCCCCCCUGGGGGGACCAUUAAAGGCGAAAGUCGCUUCUGGAGGGGCUUGCGGCCGAUUAGCUAGUUGGUGGGGUAACGGCCUACCAAGGCUACGAUCGGUAGCUGGUCUGAGAGGACGGACAGCCACACGGGGACUGAGAUACGGCCCCGACUCCUACGGGAGGCAGCAGCUAGGAAUCUUGGGAAUGGGCGAAAGCCUGACCCAGCAACGCCGCGUGGGCGAUGAAGGCCUUCGGGUCGUAAAGCCCUUUUGCGGGGGACGAUAAUGACGGUACCCCGCGAAUAAGCCACGGCUAACUACGU